CACAAGUGAUUCAGAUAUGCUUUCCCUCUAAAAAAAAAAAAAAGGUCAAGCUCUGCAGCAUUUUCCCCUGUCCCGCACCACCCGACUCCCUGACUCACCAGCAGUCUUGAAAGUGGCAGGCCAGUGUGGGGGACCUUGGCUCUGGCGGGAGCGGAGCAGUCUUUCUUCGCAAAAAGUUGUCUGUUUUCACCUGUCUGGAGGCUGCCUGAAGACAGGAUGCACGGUACUUCGCUUUGUAAGGACUAAAUUGGAACUCUCUCAGGAAGGAAGAGGCACAACGCUGAGAGCAGUCCUCAAAAACACUGACAGACAAAAAAAAAACCGUCUCUGCCACAAGGGGUAAACGAUUCCAGCUGAAGCAAACAGUAAACAUGACGAAGCCGGGGAGGAAAAGCUGAGCAAAGACACUCUUCAGGAGAAGUAGGACAUCGAAAAGCUCCAGCAUCUCCUGGAGAAGGCGACCGUGUAGCCGGGAGUUUAAAAGCCAUGCACAUGCCCAGGGCAGGGCGCAUGCUCAGAAACGACCUGAGCCCACCUCAGUGCUCUUCGCCUGGGCUGAUCUUGAGCGCUGCCGUGGAGUGGCCAGCUGCCUAGCUAAGGGUCAGAAGAGCAACCCAACACAGGGCCAAUCUGCAAAGCCAGGAAGGUCAAGGUGAAAGGUGUGUCCUUUGGACCGUCCAGGGGAAGCUGAGUGGAUCUACAUGUGGCUUACAACAGAAGAAAAUCAGAAGUCUUUGCAACGGAGGCUGAUGCAUUUUUAGAAGCCAGAAGAGAGAAGACUUACUAGAUGGUUUUCAUUUUUGAUCAUUGAUCCUGACAUAAUAGAAUGUGACCUACGUAGAGAAGACAAAAGGCAGAAAUACAACACAACCAAAGAAUACACGCUGGAAAAGGAAUCACUGAAGAAAAACGGAUAGGAAGCAUAUCUCAUGUUUUUGUGUGUGCAGGCAUACCUCGGAGAUGUUGUGGGUUUGGUACCUGACUGCUGUAAUAAAGCUAAUAUCACAAUAAACCAAG
rnacentral:lncRNA from 1 species